AAUUAAACAAGAUUACCCGCUGAAUUUAAGCAUAUUAUUAAGCGGAGGAAGAGAAAACAACAGUGAUUCCCUUAGUAGUGGCGAACGAAGAGGGAAAAGCCCAAAAUUAAAAUCUCUAAAGUAUCAAAACUUUAGCGAAUUGUAGUUUUUUAAUUCAAUUAAUUUAAAAGAUUUUUAAAAGAAUAAUUUACUCUGGAAAGUGUAAACCAAAGAGGGUGAUAGUCCCUUGUUUCUUUUUGAAAAGAUCUUUCAAUAAUUUAAUUGAACUAAAGAGUCGAGUUGUUUGGGAAUGCAGCUCAAAAACCAUUUUUAGGGUGGUAAAACUUCACCUAAGGCUAAAUAAUUUGGCGAGAGACCGAUAGCGAACAAGUACCGUGAGGGAAAGAUGAAAUAGCACCCAGAAAUGGGGAGUUAAAGUUAGCACGUGAAAUUGUUGAAA
rnacentral:rRNA from 1 species